rnacentral:rRNA from 1 species
GUGCAGUGUGAAAACGGCGGCGAAUUUCUCUCUCACUCCCUCCGCGACCACUUCUCGCAUCUAGGUGUCUCGUUUCGCCUCUCGUGCCCUCACACAUCCCCCCAAAAUGGUAAGGCCGAGCGCCUCUUACGCACCAGUAACGACGUUCUUCGCACCCUGCUAGUACAUGCUCACAUGCCACCCGAAUACUGGGUAGAGGCCCUACACACCGCCAACCAUCUCAUCAACUGACGACCCUCCUCCGCGGUUAACCAGCUCACACCAUUUUACUUGCUCCACGGCCACCAUCCUACCUAUGAGCAUGUACGCGUCUUCGGGUGCCUCUGCUUUCCCAACCUUAGCCACCUCGCUCCACAUAAACUAGCGCCACGCUCCACCCCUUGCGUUCUUCUUGGCUACCCUCUCAAGCACAAGGGGUAUAGGUGCCUCGACCUUCGCACACGACGCGUUCAUAUUUCUCGUCAUGUCAUUAUUGACGAGCAAAAAUUUCCCUUCGCCACACAGGAGGCCCCUGGCACACCCGCCGCACCAGAUCCCGCCCCGGAUCCCGCGCCCCACCUGGCCCCGAUCCCACCUACCUCGUACUGGCAGGCACAUCCGGCGCCAAUCCCCGCUCCAAUCCCGCCCGCCCCCGCUUCGCACCCAUCCACUCCCCGGCCUCCGCGCCCACUCCCCAUCGCGGCCCGUGCGUCCCGCGGUCCUGCAGUGGCCCCACCACCUGAUCCAUGCAGCCCGCGGCCCCCACCGAAUCCCACUUCCGUCGCUAUCACCCCCACCACCCGCCCAGAUCCACUCUGUAUCGCGCGCCUGCCGCUGAUUCGCGGCCGCCUUCACCAGAUUCUACGCCCGCAUCCACCUCCGCUUCCGCGCCAGCCACUUGCGCGUCGCCAGCUCAGCCCCAACUCUGUUGGGGAACGUAGUAAUUUCAAAAAAAUUCUUGCGCACACGCAAGAUCAUGGUGAUGCAUAG